UCCCUAUUAGUGCUUUAUCCACCUAAGUCCGUUAAGUUGAGCCUCUGCUCCUUCGGCCGUGUCGAUUUUGUGCUUGAGGUGAUCGAAAUCUUGUGAAUUUUGUGCUUGAGAUAGGACUCGUUGACCCGUUUUGUGAUAAUUAAUAUUUAUCAUGUCUAAUAGAAAGUGUUGUGUUCCCGGAUGUACAAAUGGCUUAGACACUACGGGGUAUUUACAUAAAUUCCCUAAUCCAGAUAAGGAUAGGCAGCUAUUUAAUACAUGGGUCUUUCAUAUUGGUGGUGACAUUUUGCAACUUGAAAAUAACCAUAUUUUCAAAUACCGCCGCGUCUGUAAUGAUCAUUUCGAACCAAAAUAUUGGUGCCGGAAUAACCGACUUGCCAAAGGAGCUGUACCUACAAAAAACAUGCCAGGAUUAUCUUGCUCGAAAUUCAGCAUUGAAAAAAGAGCACUAAGACCUCUUCAGAUUUCAGGACCGUCUACAUCAAAGGUAUAU